GCCCCAGGCUUCUUCACCUCAGCCCCAGACUGCACCAGCUGCACCUGGGAGUGGGCACCUGUGGAGAGGACACAGGAGUGGAUGAGAUCUCCCUGGACUGGACUCAAUCUCUUUCUCAUCACUGGGACUAGGGAGCCUCCUACCUGUAGCUGCUGCCACCAAGAAGAGGAUCCUCCAGGUCCAGUCCAUGGUGAGGAGCUGUGCUCUGGGGGCUUCU
rnacentral:lncRNA from 1 species